CAUGCAACGACUCAUUCAGGGAUAGGUGGCCCUGUAUCUCCUAAUCAUUUUAAUCCCAGCGGAGAUCCAUAAACUGCACUCGACAAGCUCUAAAUAUCAUCUAGGAUCUCUAAACGGUACUGCCUGAAAACAUUGCAGGUCCUGUACAGCACCUGUGGCAGGGGUCUGUGGAGCUGUAAACACUCUGCAGGGCUCAUACUCUCGCUUCUGCACCUUUGUCCCUGACUCCAUGAAAGAUGAAGCAAGCACUAGGCCAUCUGAACCUCACCUCUGGCAAAAGGAAACAAAGCGUUUCCUGAUUAAGUAAUUGCUUACAGAGCUCAUAUAAAUGUGACAUCUCAGGUAUGAAAUGUGGUUCUCUCGCUCACUGUGCGAAACAGACUAUCAGAUCAGUUCCAGGAUUUGGCAUCUAGAAAGGAUUGCCUCUGCUUCAGAUGUUGAGAGAAAUUAAACAAAUAUUAGGAGAUUUUUGUUUAAAGAAGAUAUUCUUGUUACUUCCACGGGAAUCAUUGUGGGACUAACCAAUAACUUGUAUCAAGUACUUCAGCUUUUUUGGCUUCUGUAAGUUUUGCAUUGGUUCAUUGUUAACAGUAAUUUACCUGCCUAUCAACCAAUUGCUCUGCUGAAUGUUUUUAACUUUAGCACAAUCCAAGCCACAGGUCCUGCAAAGACUUACACACAUGAUUAAUUUUAAGCACCAUGUGUAGGCCCACAUGCAUAAAGUUCAGGACCCAAUAUUUUAGCCUGAUAAUAAUAUGCUGCUAGAUAGUAAUAACCAUUAGCCAAUUACAUGAAAUGCAUGUAAACAUUACUUCU